rnacentral:rRNA from 1 species
GACGAACGCUGGCGGCGUGCUUAACACAUGCAAGUCGAACGGACAGACAGAGAGCUUGCUCUCUUGAAGUUAGUGGCGAACGGGUGAGUAACGCGUAAUCAACCUGCCCUUCAGAGGGGGAUAACAACGGGAAACCGUUGCUAAUACCGCGUACGACUCAUGAACGGCAGCGUUUAUGAAUGAAAGGUGGCCUCUAUGUGUAAGCUAUCGCUGAAGGAGGGGAUUGCGUCUGAUUAGCUAGUUGGAGGGGUAACGGCCCACCAAGGCAAUGAUCAGUAGCCGGUCUGAGAGGAUGAACGGCCACAUUGGGACUGAGAUACGGCCCAGACUCCUACGGGAGGCAGCAGCUAAGAAUAUUCCGCAAUGGACGAAAGUCUGACGGAGCGACGCCGCGUGGAUGACGAAGGCCGAAAGGUUGUAAAAUCCUUUUGUUGGGGAAGAAUAAGGCUGGGAGGGAAUGCCCGGCUGAUGACAUGAACCGACGAAUAAGUCCCGGCUAACUACGUGCCAGCCGCCGCCGUAA